rnacentral:rRNA from 1 species
AGAGUUUGAUCCUGGCUCAGAUUGAACGCUGGCGGCAUGCCUUACACAUGCAAGUCGAACGGCAGCACGGGAGCAAUCCUGGUGGCGAGUGGCGAACGGGUGAGUAAUAUAUCGGAACGUGCCCAGUCGUGGGGGAUAACGCAGCGAAAGCUGUGCUAAUACCGCAUACGAUCCAAGGAUGAAAGCGGGGGAUCGCAAGACCUCGCGCGAUUGGAGCGGCCGAUAUCAGAUUAGCUAGUUGGUGGGGUAAAGGCUCACCAAGGCGACGAUCUGUAGCUGGUCUGAGAGGACGACCAGCCACACUGGAACUGAGACACGGUCCAGACUCCUACGGGAGGCAGCAGUGGGGAAUUUUGGACAAUGGGCGCAAGCCUGAUCCAGCAAUGCCGCGUGCAGGAUGAAGG